GAUGAACGCUGGCGGCGUGCCUAAUACAUGCAAGUCGAUCGAAUGUAGCAAUACAUUAGAGGCGAACGGGUGAGUAUCGCGUUGGUAAUCUACCUUUCAGUUGGGGAUACCCAGAGGAAACUUUGGCUAAUACCGUAAUACGUAAUAUGGUGAAAUUCCAUAUUAUGAAAGGAGCUUCGGCUCCGCUGAUUGAUGAGCCUGCGUCUGAUUAGCUAGUUGGUGAGAUAAAAGCCCACCAAGGCGAGGAUCAGUAGCCGACCUGAGAGGGUGAACGGCCACAAUGGAACUGAGAACGGUCCAUACUCCUACGGGAGGCAGCAGUAGGGAGUUUUCGACAAUGGGGGAAACCCUGAUCGAGCAACGCCGCGUGAAUGAUGAAGGUCUUCGGAUUGUAAAAUUCUGUUACAGGGGAUAAACGAUAGGUGUAGGUAAUGACACUUAUUUGAUAGUACCUUGCCAGAAAGCAACGACUAACUACGUG
rnacentral:rRNA from 1 species